rnacentral:snRNA from 1 species
CCAGCUCUCUUUGCCUUUUGGCUUAGAUCAAGUGUAGUAUCUGUUCUUUUCAGUUUAAUCUCUGAAAGUGUUCGAAGGAACACAACAUUGAUUAUCUCAUCUUUGGAUCUCGCAGCAGGACCCCUGUGCUUGCACAUGCCUAGCUGCACAGUGUCCUCGGUCUAGCACUAUCACCGAGCGACGCGAAGCCGU